rnacentral:rRNA from 1 species
GCCCAAAGGGUAGACCUCCCACCCUUGUGUAUUAUUACUUUGUUGCUUUGGCGAGCUGCCUUCGGGCCUUGUAUGCUCGCCAGAAAAUACCAAAACUCUUUUUAUUAAUGUCGUCUGAGUACUAUAUAAUAGUUAAAACUUUCAACAACGGAUCUCUUGGUUCCGGCAUCGAUGAAAAACGCAGCGAAAUGCGAUAAGUAAUGUGAAUUGCAGAAUUCACUGAAUCAUCGAAUCUUUGAACGCACAUUGCGCCCCUUGGUAUUCCGGGGGGCAUGCCUGUUCGAGCGUCAUUUCAACCCUCAAGCUUAGCUUGGUAUUGAGUCUAUGUCAGUAAUGGCAGGCUCUAAAAUCAGUGGCGGCGCCGCUGGGUCCUGAACGUAAAAUAUCUCUCGUUACAGGUUCUCGGUGUGCUUCUGCCAAACCCAAAUUUUUCUAUGGUUGACCUCAGAUCAGGUAGGGAUACCCGCUCAACUUAACCAUAUCAUAAGCGGAGGAAGAAAA